UACGUAGGGUGCAAGCGUUAAUCGGAAUUACUGGGCGUAAAGCGUGCGCAGGCGGUUAUGCAAGACAGAUGUGAAAUCCCCGGGCUUAACCUGGGAACUGCAUUUGUGACUGCAUAGCUGGAGUACGGUAGAGGGGGAUGGAAUUCCGCGUGUAGCAGUGAAAUGCGUAGAGAUGUGGAGGAACACCGAUGGCGAAGGCAGCCCCCUGGGUCAAGACUGACGCUCAUGCACGAAAGCGUGGGGAGCAAACAGG
rnacentral:rRNA from 1 species